GUGCGUGAAAAGCAAAACAGAACCCCACCACGUAGUUCAUGGACUGCUAGGCCUAGGCCUAGGCCUAUUUGACCCAUUUUGUGUUGUGGCUACGAAAACAGAAUCUAAUCUUGUGCAUCUUGUCUCUGAAGCGAAUACGUGGCCAUAUUUUUGGAAAUUCUAAUUCUCAUUGUAACCUGUACACUGCAGUGUUGUGAUUUUAGUAUCUCCAAGAAGUACUGUAAUAGUUUUGAAUCAUCAAUCAUGGCUUCUAGUGGAGACGAUAAGUAUCUUGAUGAAUUUGACAAAUACAACAUCGAGCAGGGCAAGUACGAGAACCAUGCCCACAGUGGCAAGGGCCGGUCGAAAAAGGAAGCAGAACAACAUCAUCACGAAGACCCAAGUGGUCACACGAGGAAGGAUGUUCAAAAGUUGGUAAACAACGCGCACAAGCAAGCAGAUGAAAAUAAAAAGAAAGCUAACUGACUUCAUGGAGCAUCUGAAAAGCACCUCUGUUCCUUUGUGCAACGAUGGUGAUUAUUUGUUGACAUACGAUGGAAUAUAAUGGACUAGGAGUAAAGACAAACGACUGAUUUCUCACCGACAGCAGCUUUGGAGCGUCUCAGAACUUCAGAGGUUGCUGGGUGAGGUUGACAAGAGUGUAGACCACCUUGGAUGACUCCUGAUGUGGUACAUUCCAGUCUGAGCCAGCACAAUAGAACAUUGAACGUUGUGAACAUUAUUAAUUCUGUGCUUUCUUUUUAAGUUAAUAGCUGAGAUUGUGAAACUGGUGGUGGUGUUUUUUAUCAUGUAUGGUUGUCAGUAUGCUGUGACAUACGGGUAGGGUUCAUGUAAGUUUUUGCUUGUUUGUGAGUCAUGUUUAGAAUCGUUGAAACAAGAAAAAAAGAAAAAGUCGAUCUCAGUGCAUUGAUUUUGGUUAAUGAAAUCCUGGUCAUUUUGAGAAAUUGUUGUACUUACAUUGUUUAAUGUUAUUUUCUUAUUUCAUACGAAAUAAAAAAAAGUGUGGAAUAUUAAAAA